AAUCCAACACACGCUCAGGCGCGCUCGCAUGGAGCACCUGCUCGGGAAAGAGGCUGCGCCCAUCUCUGCGCCACAACUGUGUGCCUUUCGCCUUUUUGACACUUUUGAAACGUGCUGAAUUUUUAUGCGUGUUCUAAAAUCAUGCUGCAAAUCCGAAGAGCCAUUCGCAACUUGGGCUUUGAGGACACCUUUUCUCAUGUGCGUAGCAAGUUACGCGGCGUCAGUGCGCAUUUGGAACAAACUUUGAACGCUUGAAUCACCGGAAGACUUUCCUUGAUUUUUUUUUUUGUAGAAAUAUUAGCUUGAGGUGUUCCGCCGAUUUUGUGCUGUUUGGAUUGGACACGCGACGCAAGGUGGAAGUCGUGAUCGGUGCUGAAGGAUUUCCCGACUGUGAACCAGCAACGGAGCGGACGCGCGGAUGAGAUAACAUGGGUCCUCUGCUGAAUGACGGACGAGUGACACACCUCCUCUUUCCACUCCUCCUCCUUUUGCGAGUGCCCUUCUUGUUCAGCUUUGGUGAGCGCACAUGUCCAAACAGUUGCCGGUGCGAAGGGAAAACUGUUAAUUGCGAUUCAUCCGGCUUCCUGGAUGUCCCGGAAAACAUUACAGUUGGGUGUCAGGGCCUCUCCAUGCGCUACAAUGAACUGCACACCCUGUUGCCGUAUCAGUUCGCUCAUUUGGGUCAGCUUCUCUGGAUAUACUUGGAUCACAAUCAGAUUUCAGCCGUCGACAGUCGGGCGUUCCAGGGAGUCCGUCGACUUAAAGAGCUCAUCAUGAGCUCGAACCAGAUCACAUCUCUGCACAAUUCAACGUUCCACGGAAUUCCCAAUCUACGUAGUUUAGACCUGUCGUACAACAAGUUGGAAAUCCUGCAGCCGGGACAAUUCCAUGGCCUGCGAAAGUUGCAAAACCUCCACCUCCGAUCAAACGGUCUCUCGAACAUCCCCAUUCGAGCGUUCCUUGAGUGCCGAAGUUUGGAGUUUCUGGAUUUGGGCUACAAUCGAAUGAAAGCUCUCACGCGCACCACCUUCUUGGGGUUACAGAAGCUGAUGGAGUUGCAUCUCGAGCACAACCAGUUCACCCGGAUAAACUUUUUCCUGUUUCCUCGUCUGGCCAAUCUGAGAUCACUCUAUCUGCAGUGGAACCGCAUCAAGGUGGUCAAUCAGGGACUUCCCUGGACAUGGUAUACUCUGCAGAAACUUGACUUGUCUGGAAAUGAAAUACAGAGCCUGGAUCCAGCAGUGUUCCACUGCUUGCCCAACCUUCAGGUGCUCAACUUGGAAUCCAACAAACUGUCCAACGUGUCACAGGAGGCGGUGUCGGCGUGGAUCUCGCUGACUUCCAUCAGCCUCGCUGGCAACAUAUGGGAUUGUGCCACUGGUAUAUGUCCACUCGUGGCUUGGCUAAGAAAUUUCCGCGGCACCAAAGACACCACGAUGAUAUGCAGCAGCCCAAAGUAUCUCCAAGGAGAAAAGAUCAUGGAGGCCACAAGGAACCACGGCAUUUGUGAGGAAACCGAUUACAUUCUGACUGAGACACCCUCACCAAUGUCAGAGCUUUUUUCUGAAGCCACCAACGAGCUGACAUUUGCCCCCACAAGUGGGUCUCCGCUCACACCGCCAACCUUCGGUCCGCAGCCACCUUUCAGACCGCAUCCUAUUCCUCAUCCGACGUUCCCGGGGCAUAUGAGCAAAGAUCCACGCGACUCGGUCGCACGUAGUCGUCCCACUCACGUCCUACCCCCAGAGAUGGAACAUAUGACUCUCCAUAAAGUGGUGGUGGGCAGUGUGGCGCUGUUCUUCAGCAUGUCUCUCAUUUUGACCAUCAUCUACGUAUUGUGGCGGCGCUACCCGGGUGCGACCAGAUUGCUCCACCAGCGAUCCAUGGUGGGGAGAAAGUGUCGCAAAAAGAGUCCCGAGCCCGAGCAGGACCUAAGCACCCAGCUGCAAGAGUAUUACAUGAGCUACAACCCCGCUGCCACUCCGGAGGCAAUGGAAGUGCUCGGCAACGGCACCGGCUCCUGCACUUGCACAAUGUCUAGCUCCAGGGAGUGUGAGGUAUGAUUCAUCGCAUCAGCCUUAAAAAAAACUAGAAAUCAAAUUGAAAAUACAAAGGCUCAUCAGAAAGAACGAGUAUACAUGUCGACGCCCACUACCUGGCACGUGGCUGGGGGAGCUGCCUACCAUCCAUUAGAACGAACUGCUUUUGGAUCGUGCUGGGAACAACUUAAUUGCCCAACAUAUAAAAUAUAAUUACAGAGGGUGGUAUGUGGAGAACAGCAUCAGGAUUCCUUUUGAAAUUAAUCACUACAACCUUGCUGGAACUUCCUGGAAAACGGUGUUGAUAGAAUCAAAGGUUGUGGUACCGUCUACUUGUUAAUACUAGUUUCUGUUUGAGGGCCUAAUAUGAAGGAAACCACACACUAACUACUCAGCAACGGCUGAUCUCAACCACGUUUGCUUAUUGUCUCUGUGAGGACAAUGUGGUUAGAUUCGAGGAUCAAGACUGUACAUAUGCCAGCUUGCUUUAAAACCUGAUUGAUGAACAUGCACUCAUCGAUGAGCUUUGAGUCCCUCGCUGACAGUGACAGUAUGCGAUUUCAAAGCCCCACUUUGAUUCCUUAAGAAAGCAGGAGGUCAUCGUACAAAACUGACUUUUCUCCGAUUAAGGCUUGGAUGGUGUAUAUGUGCCUCACAGGAUCUGUUUUGGUUUUGUUUUGCAACCUGUUGUUUCAGAUGAUCCGAUUGCAAGCAGUCGUAAGAAGAGACAAGGAAAUUAGCCAGAGCUGAGACUAUCCCAAGUCCCAUGACUUUUGAUGUUGUGUGUUUGUAAUUUAUUUGAUUUGUUUUUGUACGUUUGACUUUCAGUGUGGUUUGUAAUGGCGUUAGGACCUUGCCUUGUUGAAUUGAAUGAACUGAAAAUGCAAUCGAAGUAGUGAGGGAAAAAAAAAAGAAAAAAAUUGAUCAAAUGUACUUUUCUAAGCGUAUAAUGUAAUUAAUGAUAUUCUUUAAGGUUAUUGUUUUUCUGCCAUUUUUAACCUUAACCAAAUGCACCACUUUUGCUGUUGGCCUCUCCUGAUCAUGGCUCCAUCGCUCGUUCCAAAUGUCAAUGAAGCAAUCUGUUUCCACAAAACAAGUUUGAUUCCUUUGCAACAUCUCAUGAACAUAUCAUGUGUGAACUAGAAAUAAUUGUUUCUUCCUCUUCUCAGUGCAUUUCCCUUUGUUUUUUCUUCCUUGGCAUCAGUGCGUUGAUCUAACAUGAGACUUGAACUUCUUGGUAUUGAUUAGUGUGGACACACAAUGUUUUCAAAUGGGAAUUAGAACAUCUUAACAUGCGGACACGACAAGCUUUCGUUUGCAAACGUUGAAUGCCAAUGUAAAGGCCAAGCUGUUCUGUUUUGGUGUCUCAUCUCCCUAAUUUCCCUAAACUAUCAAUUCAAUAUUAUUAAUUUUCCCCAGUUUUUGCGGCGCAAUUUAGCAGAAUAUGCCCGCCGCAUGUGGACUCUUGUAUUUGGAUUUGGGCUAGUAACUCAUGCAGCAGUGAAACUGGCAAUACAAUACUAUCAUGACAUGUUAGCAGUAUACAGACAUAUUAACAGGACAAGAAUUACAUUUUAGUGUUGUUGCACAGUGAAAAACAUGCAUGACCCAUCUUUGUUUCAUUUGGGCAAGGAAAAUUUUCAUCCAAACAGUCUAUACCUUGAUAGUUCUUGCAAGUGUGUGAACUGUCCCCCCCUUUGCCCUGUCGUCGCAAGUGGCCCCAUCCUUGAGUUUUGAAAAUUGACCACGCGUCUGAAAUCGCACAGCAGCUUACCAACUGGUUUUCCAUUUGCUUUUCUUCUUUCUCACCUUCCUUUCCCAUUUGCUCGAAAAUUGACAGGCUACCAAGUUUUUUUUCCGAGAACAGAUUCUCAAAAGCGGCUUAUGACUCGUGCAGAGAUGGCAUUCACUCAGACCUGUCCUGUUGAGAUAACUUAGACCUUUUCACAUCAAAUGACUUGUUUCACUUUCCUUUAAAUCGCCAUCCCAUUCUCCCUUCCGGAGACGGACAUCCUGCGCGCUGUUCUUUGUGUGCUUGUGUUUCAUCUUUACAGAACUGUAUAUUGCGUUUUGACAUGCUUCUUAAACCCCUUCAAUGUGUCCCUCUUUCUAGACUGAAAAAUCGCCGUUUUCUAAUGUAAAUUUCUGCUUUCCUUACUGUUGAUGUUUAGUAAGCGGCUGUAUGUUUUUGUUCACUUUCAACUCUGUGUUUUUUUUUAAAUGAAACUAUCGACUUGAUUGGUCAGCAAUAUGAAGUGCUCAAAUAAAAUAUGACUUAGCCAUACCCUG